rnacentral:lncRNA from 1 species
UAAAUCGUAGUAACGUAAUAAAAAUUAUACAAAAUGUAUACAAAAUUAGAAUAACCAUUUAUACUAAAUAAGUGUUUAGCAUUUCUACAAAUUUCUACUAAUUUUUGAAUCAUUUAUAAUAAAACAUAGUAAUUUCUAAAAGUUAUACAAAAUGUACACAAAAUUAGACUAAGCAUCUGAACUAAAUUAUACUAAUUUCCUACUCAUCAUAGUAAUUUCGACUAAGUUUAAACUAAUAAUAGUAUAUUACUAUUGAUUUUUUAGUAAUCUAUUGAUUUUGUACACAUUUUUAUUGAUUUUCUAACUAAAAAAUAAAAAAGGGCCCUUGCGUCAACAAGGGCCCCGCCGUACGUGCGGGAGCCAGGGCCGGCGGGGGUUCGGCGGUGGCGACGGGGGCAGGGGUGUUGGAGGUAUGCCCUAGAGGCAAUCAUAGAGAUGAUGAUAUUCCAUUUGUAUCCAUAAUUUGUAUAUUGUGUUCAUUGAAUAUCCAUUAAAGGCUACUUGAAUUGAUUUGCAAUUAUGUGAAUUGUAUGUGAAACUCUUUACUUGUAUGGUUAUUCUAAAGUUGUCCCUAGUCGGAGUUCAUGUGAGGACACACAUGAAUAUUAGACUAGCACAUGUAUUAGUUGAUGACUAUGUUUCACAAGUCAUGGACAUGGAGAUGUUGAACUAAUAAUGUGGACACAUGUGGAGACAUGUGCUAGGACUGACCCAACACGAGAAGUAGUUCUCUCUUUAAACAACAUAUACGCUUUGUCCUUAGACCUGAGAUUGUCGCAUGUAUUCAAGAUGUGGAUCGACAUACUUAGGGGCUAUCAAACGCUACGCCGUAACAGGGUAGUUAUAAAGGUGGCUUUCGGGUUUGUCAAGAAGCAUGCUAUGAGACAUGGUCAAUCAAGAUGGGAUUUGCCCCUCUCUAAUUGAGAGUGAUAUCUCUGGGCCCUUCGAGUGAUCGGAUCCGAAAAUGCAUGGCCAUGCUACGUACGGUUAAGAG